GGGGGUGAUCUGGUUUCGACUUCGUGAGUUGAACUGUUGGAAGCGAGCCGAGGUCUCCGGAGCCUCGUUAAACAGCCGGAAACCAACAAUGAGUGCCGAAGACAACUUCGCACUGGCCGCCUAAAUAAUCGGCCUGUCCGCCCGGGGGGAGCCUGCCUCGCCGGAUCCGGGCAUCGCAAUGCAGGACGCUCCCGCCGGGAUUCCGGGACCGGCGGGCCAAGACAACCCCGGAUAGGCCCAGGGAACACUUGCCGGUGGGGUCCCUGGUCACCGAAACCAUCUGCCGGCUGCGCUCGGAGAUGCCGAUGGGGAAAUCACGAAGGACGGGGGUUCGACUCCCCCCACCUCCACCG
rnacentral:tmRNA from 1 species